UACAAAACAAGGUGGCCACUAUUCCCAUUAUCCAUUCUUCACAGGAUGGUUCUUUUCUACAGCUAUUGCAUCUUGCUUCGCUGUUAGGGAUACUAAAAUGCAUCUACAGGUUUUUUAGACAUUCUUUAAGCUCCUUGCCCAUUCUUCAGCAACCCAUUUGUUCAAUUCCUUUGAGUACAUGGGUUCCAAAAAUUGGGGAGUAGAAGCCAUUUGCAAUGUUUAGGUCAAAUGCGUCUCUUAGUGCUACUUUAACUUUAUUAGUUCAAGUUGGAGUUAAUUCGAUUUAUAUUUAGUGGAUGAUAAUGGCUCAUUGCUGGAUAUGUAUUCACGAAGUGAUAUCCCUGCUUUGGCAAAAGAUAAAGCAUAUGCACAGAUUCGCCUUGGUGAAAUGCGUAUUCACCAGGUAAUUCCUCAAUCUUAUGUAUUUAUCUGACUCCAUCAGGCAUGCUAACUGUAUGGUAGAUAGCAAUCUCUUUAAAUG